AUGCACCUGUUUCCCCCUCCAGGCCUUUGGCCUUUUGAGGGAGAACAGGGUAGUUUUAUUACCAACAUCCAGCCUGGACACUUUGCAAUUGUAAAGGAGAACCAUGAAGCUUUAGGUGUGUUCAUAAGCUACUCGGGUCAGUUCUUGCUGGGGAGCUCGGCGGACCAGAGGGCCGAGAACCGGGGUGCAGUGGGAAGACCAAAGAACCACCCAGACUCCAUCCUGGCCGCCGGGGCCACCCUGCACAGGCCUCCCAGUCACAGCUCGGCCAGGCCCGGCGUCCCAGGGCGUCACUGUCCUGCUUGCGGGUGGUGGGAGCGCCGGGUGUGGGAGCGGGAGUGGGAGUCACUUGGUGCUGGGCGAGGCCCCGGCUCUUGCUGCCCACCUCUUGUCAGCUCACGUGUGUUCGGUGUCAGCAGGAGACCUCAGUGUGGGAGCCCCAAUCCAUACAUUUGCUUUGAGUAUUUAGAGGAGAAUGUUACCGGAAUGGAGUUUUAACCCAGAAGGUAUAGUAUUUAUAAGGUGUAAUCAUUUCCUUGUCGUGAACCGUUUAAGUGUAACACUUGUUAAAUUUUUUACACUAUAGCAUUUAUGCAAUGGUUUACAGAAUUCAUGGAGUUAUUUUUAUCAGUAUGGAUAAAAUGGAAAUUAAAAAUCUUUAUCAUCUUGUCUGUGUCUGGAAGAGAAAGCGCGCCCUCUGGUGGGGACUCCCCACAUUGCGCCUCGCAGCCUGAUCACAGGUUGUUGGCUCGCAGCCCCGGGUCGCCGCGCAGGUGCUCUGCCGUGGGGUCUGUGGGUGUCUUGGGGCCCAGGUGCUCAGAGAUGUAAGUUUCUGCCAAAACACCAAGUGGCAAGAGGAAGGCAAUGCCUCGCAGGUGGCAGGUCCCAAGGCGGGCUGGGCACCACCCCAGGCACCACUGACCUGCAGGCUGCGUGUAGGGGAUGCCGUGCUGGGUCAGCACGCUCCGCAGCCUCUCCAGCUCCGCUGACAGGGCUUUAUGUGCCUAGAGCGUGAGUUCCAGGGAGAAGUCAGGCCCUUGGCAGGAGGCCGUCCAGCCCCAGGGAGGCCCCGCCGGUACCUCAUGGCAGCUCUCCAGCGUCUCAAACACCAGGCCCUUGGCACCCCUGUCCUGCUGCGCCUGCUCGCUUUGUUCUGGGGCCUUUAAAUAGCCAGCAUCCUCAAAGAUCGACCUGAGCAACUUCUCAUAGCCCUAAAGGUGGAGGAUGAAGAGGGAGCACCCAGCCCGGGAUAGGGGGACCACUCAGCGGGGGGGCACCCACCCUAGCCCUUCACCUGGGAUGUGAUCAGCCCGUCCGCCAGAUCCUGCUCCACCUGCUCCCACCUGUGCUGCAGGGCCGCAGGCAGGGUGGGGUACACUGAGGAGCCAAGAGAAACCAGACUGAGUUGAGCCCCUCUGCACCCCAAUGCCCCUGGCCAGCCCUGGUGCCCACCUAGCAAGGAGUGGGGGUGGCACACAAGGGGCGUCUCAAAGGUCAGCGCGUAGACACAGGUGUGUGGCUCGGACACGUGGGCCAACCGGUUGCUCUUGCCGCAGGUAAGCUCCACCUGGGGGUGGGGGCGACACCCAGUGAGUGGGUGGGUGGGAGGAGCCAGGGGCUGCC
ensembl:lncRNA